GCAUUAUAACCUAAUGUGCAUUUCUUUUGAAAUGAGUAUCUUGAAACUUUGAACAAAUAAAUAAUAAUUAAAAAAAAAGAAACACUUGCAGAAUUGGAAUAACUAAGGUGCAUAACACAAUAUCUUAAUCUUUUUAUUAAUCAUUCCAGCUGUAUCUUGUCUUGUAGCCGUUUGAGGUUCAUAAUAACAUCCAAAUCUGACACAUUACUGAAUGUGCAGAUAAGCUUGGCAGUAGAACUUUUCAUGUGGGCUGCCAAAUCACUGUCACAUGCUAAGCUUCAUUUGUUUGCUUUUGUAUAAUAUUAUAUGGCUGCAAAUGGGAAUACUUCCACUGCCCUUUGUAUUGAUUAUUGAAACAUUUGACACUUUCAACAACUACACAACCCUGUUAAGAUUAAGAAGCCACUCAAAAAUUCAAGUCAAUCCCAACAUCAUCCCCUCUUCACUUUCCUUUCACAUCAUUUAUUCUCACAUUUUAUUCAAUUUACAAAUAAAAUAUUUUCCCUCUCUUAUUUUCUUGACUUUUAUUUUAAUUUAAAACAGCACAAUCUUGACGGAUAUUUCCCUUUUUGCCUGUCUUGACUCCGACCCGGCCCAAUUUCUUCAUGGCGGCAACAAAGGCUCUUUCAAAGGCUGGGGAGUUGCUAGCCCAUGCAUUAACAGUGGGCCUGGACCUUGGGUCUGUAAAGAGGACUUGGUCUGCAGUGAAGAGUCCCUUUCCAUUCUGGAGGUUCUUGAAGUAUACAUUGUCAAAGGUAUUAGGUGUGAUCGGGUCCAUGUUGACGGCUAUCCUGGGAUCCACGUUCCUGGGGCACAUCUGCUGUAGUUCAGUUGCAUAGGACGGGUUGAGUGUAGGAUCCACUGGAUUUUGACGACUGAAAUUGUAUAUCCUGUUGCUGAACCUGUUGCAGUGGGAAAAUCCAAGGGUGUGUGCCGCUGCAGAAAAUCAAAUGGAUGGUGAUUAGCAUCACACAAUCAAAGCUUGACUUUUCAUCGUUAUUGCUGGGUGCUUACCAACCAAUGCCAGGUAAUAAGAUUAUAUAUAUUAAAUUAAACAAAAUCCAGAAGACAAUUGACCUGUGACCUGUCAAAUGAGGCUGAGAAUCUACGAUUUACUUGUCUUCGUAGCCAAAUUAUUAGGCUUGUGUCACCUUAAUUUUUUUAUGGCUUUUCAAUAAUUAAAAGAAUAAUAAACAAUGAAUAACAAACUAGUACCUGACAGAGCAAUCAUGUCAGUCUGGGAGAGGCCAUGAGAAGCAAAGAGAGAAUUGAGUUGAUUCAGAUUGAAAGUUUCCUUAGGCAGUUUGCCAUUAACGCUAGCAGCAGUUGAGCUGAGGCCAUCAAGUCUUCCCAAUUCAACAGCAUAUGAAGGUCCACCAGACUACAUUUAUAUCACAUACCAAAUGUUGAGGUUCAAUUAAUUAUGACCAUGAAAUUCAUGGCAGAGAAUAUAAGAGUAUGUGUACUGUGGACUGACCAGAGCAACAACAUCUCUUGUUGCCAUUGCAAGAAUAUCUGCACAUGACACCUUGUUUCUGCAGCUGGGGAUGGCGUCCACGGCGGCUUUGGCCUUGAUCACGGUGUCAAAUCCAUCCCCGGCCAAUGAUAAAUUAUCCGGGUGGUCUUUCUCUGCUUUGUUGUUCGGAGUGGAUUGGAUUAUAACUGAAGCAUCACAUCCCUUUUACAUGCCGAAACAAAUUACACAAGCUAAAAUGGAUUAAUGGGUAUUCUGUUUUCUCCUGAUUUCUAAAAAGGAAAAAAGAGCAAUAACAUAGUUACCUGCACAAAGCAAUCAUGGAAGAAGAGACGGAGGGUUCCAGGAACAGUGACAAAAGUCUGCUGAAAUUUCUUUUGAACUGCAUUUCUAACAAUGGAUUCCACAUUUGGGCAAAUAUUGGCAUAAUAAUUUUGUCUAAGCUGAGCUGAAACAGAACUUGAAAAGAGGCACAAACUGAAAGAAAGUGACAAUACAAGAAUAAGCUGGAAACUACCCAUCAUGACCCUGAUCCACUAUAAUAUGUAAAAGAAGCUAUAACUAAGAGAAGAAAAGGCUGAGCAGUAGAUUGAAAGGAGCAAGGUCGCCAUAUUUAUAUGUAUAUAUAUAUUGGACAAUCUUUUAUGACAGCCAAGCAAGUAAGUCCAUCAUUUUAAGGAAUGGGGGCUGAUGUUGAAAAAGACAUGGAUCCAUUGGCCGCCUUUGUUUUCUUGCGUAAUUGGCUAACUGCUCUGCUGCUUUUGGCAUUCUGUUUGAGACAGUGAGAA
rnacentral:misc_RNA from 1 species